rnacentral:misc_RNA from 1 species
GCAAACUUGGUCAUUUAGAGGAAGUAAAAGUCGUAACAAGGUUUCCGUAGGUGAACCUGCGGAAGGAUCAUUACAGUGCCACCGGCUGGAGCUGCUGUAUCUCUCAGAGAACGCUGGCGCUCGCCACAUGGCCCCACUCAUGCUUAUUUUUUUCCUCUGUUGCCUUGGCAGGUCCGUCAGUUGGGUUGAAUGAAUUUUGAUUUGUUCAAUGCUUUUUGGCAACCAGCACUCUGCAUCACAGGGGGCUCGGGUUUGUAUCUGCCGCAGGACCCAUUUUUGAAAUUUGCUGUGAAGCGAAAGCAAGGCUAGUCAGUCUUAUAUUCUUUAAGCGAUAAAAUACUGCUUAAAAACUUUCAACAACGGAUCUCUUGGUUCUGGCAUCGAUGAAGAACGCAGC